rnacentral:rRNA from 1 species
GCGAACGCUGGCGGCAGGCCUAACACAUGCAAGUCGAGCGCCCGUAGCAAUACGGGAGCGGCAGACGGGAGAGUAACACGUGGGAACGUACCCUUCAGUUCGGAACAACCCAGGGAAACUUGGGCUAAUACCGAAUACGUCCGUAAGGAGAAAGAUUUAUCGCUGAAGGAUCGGCCCGCGUCUGAUUAGCUAGUUGGUGAGGUAAUGGCUCACCAAGGCGACGAUCAGUAGCUGGUCUGAGAGGAUGAUCAGCCUCACUGGGACUGAGACACGGCCCAGACUCCUACGGGAGGCAGCAGUGGGGAAUAUUGGACAAUGGGCGCAAGCCUGAUCCAGCCAUGCCGCGUGGAUGAUGAAGGCCCUAGGGUUGUAAAGUCCUUUCGGCGGGGAAGAUAAUGACGGUACCCGCAGAAGAAGCCCCGGCUAACUUCGU